UACGUAGGGUGCGAGCGUUAAUCGGAAUUACUGGGCGUAAAGCGUGCGUAGGCGGUUUGUCGCGUCUGCCGUGAAAGUCCGGGGCUCAACUCCGGAUCUGCGGUGGGUACGGGCAGACUAGAGUGAUGUAGGGGAGACUGGAAUUCCUGGUGUAGCGGUGAAGUGCGCAGAUAUCAGGAGGAACACCGAUGGCGAAGGCAGGUCUCUGGGCAUUAACUGACGCUGAGGAGCGAAAGCGUGGGGAGCAAACAGG
rnacentral:rRNA from 1 species